CCUACGGGGUGCAGCAGUGGGGGAUAUUGCACAAUGGGGGGAACCCUGAUGCAGCGACGCCGCGUGGGUGAAGGAGUGCUUCGGCAUGUAAAGCCCUAUCGGCAGGGAAGAAGCAAGACGGUACUUGACUAAGAAGCCCCGGCUAACUACGUGCCAGCAGCCGCGGUAACACGUAGGGGGCGAGCGUUAUCCGGAUUCACUGGGUGUAAGGGAUGCGUAGAGGGCAAUGCAAGCCAGGGGUGAAAGCCCGGGGCCCAACCCCGGGACUGCCCGUGGAACUGCUUAGCUGGAGUGCGGGAGGGGCAGGCGGAAUUCCUGGUGUAGCGGUGAAAUGCGUAGAUAUCAGGAGGAACACCGGCGGCGAAGGCGGCCUGCUGGACCGCGACUGACGUUGAGGCUCGAAAGCGUGGGGAGCGAACAGGAUUAGAUACCCUUGUAGUC
rnacentral:rRNA from 1 species